rnacentral:tRNA from 1 species
GCCCGCUUGGCUAAGUGGUAUAGCGCAUCACUAGUAAUGAUGAGAUCACAGGUUCGAUUCCUGUAGUGGGCA